rnacentral:rRNA from 1 species
AGUAACGGCGAGUGAAGCGGCAACAGCUCAAAUUUGAAAUCUGGCGCAAGCCCGAGUUGUAAUUUGUAGAGGAUGCUUCAGGGCAGCGGCCGGUCUAAGUUCCUUGGAACAGGACGUCAUAGAGGGUGAGAAUCCCGUAUGCGACCGGUUGGCACCCGUCACGUAGCUCCUUCGACGAGUCGAGUUGUUUGGGAAUGCAGCUCUAAAUGGGAGGUAAAUUUCUUCUAAAGCUAAAUACCGGCCAGAGACCGAUAGCGCACAAGUAGAGUGAUCGAAAGAUGAAAAGCACUUUGGAAAGAGAGUUAAAAAGCACGUGAAAUUGUUGAAAGGGAAGCGCAUGCAACCAGACUUGUCGGCGGUGUUCCGCCGGUCUUCUGACCGGUCUAUUCGCCGCCGGCAGGCCAGCAUCAUCUGGGCGCGCCGGAUAAAGGCGUGGGGAAUGUAGCUCCUCGGAGUGUUAUAGCCCUGCGCACAAUACGGCGCCGCCCGGGUGAGGUCCGCGCUUCGGCUAGGAUGCUGGCGUAAUGGUUGUCUGCGGCCCGUCUUGAAACACGGACCAAGGAGUCUAACAUCUAUGCGAGUGUUCGGGUGUCAAACCCCUACGCGUAAUGAAAGUGAACGGAGGUGGGAAGCGCAAGCUGCACCAUCGACCGAUCCUGAUGUCUUCGGAUGGAUUUGAGUAAGAGCAUAGCUGUUGGGACCCGAAAGAUGGUGAACUAUGCCUGAAUAGGGUGAAGCCAGAGGAAACUCUGGUGGAGGCUCGCAGCGGUUCUGACGUGCAAAUCGAUCGUCAAAUUUGGGUAUA